GCCGAGGUGGUGGAACUGGCAGACACGCGGGACUUAAAAUCCCGUGAUAGCGAUAUCGUGCGGGUUCGACCCCCGCCCUCGGCA
rnacentral:tRNA from 1 species